UCGGUUGCUCCAAAAACAGAUGUCUAUAGACGUCAGUGUUUCAGGGGAUUCGACAUCUAUUCUACGUCAAAGAAGCUGAAAAGAUUGACGUUCGACUUCCUGUCAGGGUAGUUCAUGUCGGUGCCCCUCCUAGCCGAUGUCUAAAACCCUCGAAUUUGGUGAAAAUAAUCAAUUACAGGAACGUAGACGUCGCUUACGUUCAGAACCGACGUCUAAAUUGAAGAAUUUUUGUCUUCCCGCCUUCCAGACAGGC
rnacentral:lncRNA from 1 species